GCGGGUGUAGCUCAGCUGGUUAGAGCGCCGCCCUGUCACGGCGGAGGCCGCGGGUUCAAGUCCCGUCACUCGCGCCA
rnacentral:tRNA from 1 species